rnacentral:rRNA from 1 species
AUACGGAGGGUGCAAGCGUUAUCCGGAUUUACUGGGUUUAAAGGGUACGCAGGCGGUAAUUUAAGUCAGUGGUGAAAGCCUACAGCUCAACUGUAGAACUGCCAUUGAAACUGAAUUACUUGAGUAUGGUAGAGGUAGGCGGAAUACAACAUGUAGCGGUGAAAUGCAUAGAUAUGUUGUAGAACACCGAUUGCGAAGGCAGCUUACUAAACCAUUACUGACGCUCAUGUACGAAAGCGUGGGGAGCAAACAGGAUUAGAUACCCUAGUAGUCC